AACGUAGGACGCGAGCGUUAUCCGGAGUUACUGGGCGUAAAGCGUGCGCAGGCGGUCUGCUAAGACAGGUGUGAAAUCCCCGGGCUUAACCUGGGAACUGCGCUUGUUACUGGCAGGCUGGAGUGUGGCAGAGGGGGGUGGAAUUCCACGUGUAGCAGUGAAAUGCGUAGAGAUGUGGAGGAACACCGAUGGCGAAGGCAGCCCCCUGGGCUAACACUGACGCUCAUGCACGAAAGCGUGGGGAGCAAACAGG
rnacentral:rRNA from 1 species